rnacentral:rRNA from 1 species
UGCAAGUCGAGCGGACAGAUGGGAGCUUGCUCCCUGAUGUUAGCGGCGGACGGGUGAGUAACACGUGGGUAACCUGCCUGUAAGACUGGGAUAACUCCGGGAAACCGGGGCUAAUACCGGAUGCUUGUUUGAACCGCAUGGUUCAAACAUAAAAGGUGGCUUCGGCUACCACUUACAGAUGGACCCGCGGCGCAUUAGCUAGUUGGUGAGGUAACGGCUCACCAAGGCAACGAUGCGUAGCCGACCUGAGAGGGUGAUCGGCCACACUGGGACUGAGACACGGCCCAGACUCCUACGGGAGGCAGCAGUAGGGAAUCUUCCGCAAUGGACGAAAGUCUGACGGAGCAACGCCGCGUGAGUGAUGAAGGUUUUCGGAUCGUAAAGCUCUGUUGUUAGGGAAAAACAAUUACCGCUCAA